CUCUACGGCCAUGCUGUCUCGGAAGCUCAGCAGAGUUGGGCUUGGUUAGUACUUGGAUGGGAGACCACCUAGGAAGACCAGGUGCUGUAGGCA
rnacentral:rRNA from 1 species